AGUCUAGGAGGAAUGGACAAGAUCCUGACAGCAACGUUUUUACUCCUAGGCCUUCACCUAGCUGGGGUGAAUGGCCAGCAGCAGGAGAAACGUGACCAGCAGCAGUUCCCUGGGGAAGGCCCUGCACUCCUGAUAUCCAUACGUUCAGUGUCCGAUAAAAAGGAAGAUGGACGAUUCACAAUCUUCUUCAAUAAAAGGGAGAAAAAGCUCUCCUUGCACAUCACAGACUCUCAGCCUGGAGACUCAGCUACCUACUUCUGUGCAGCAAGUGUGUUUCUUUAUAGCAACCAAAGCAAUCCAAACAACAACAACAACAAAAACUACAACAACUCAACAGCAGCAGCAGCAACAACAACAUGAAGACUUCUGACAGAAAAAGUGGUCUUUGUCACAGAAAUCCUCAUCUGGAAGGACCCACUGAUGACUUGAUUCAAUUCAUGAGACUAGCAGACCUUUCUACCUGUGGAAACUGAUAUACAAUCUACCCAAUCAGAGAGACCAUGUCAUACUGAAGAGAAAGAAAUAAUGACUCUGUGCAUGAUACCUUCUACUUCAUGCUAUUGGAUAUUGUAAAGUUUUAAACUUAUUGUUAUUACAUAAUUAUAUAUGUGUGUCUACACACAUAUAUAUACACACAUAUAUAUAUAUAUAUAUACAUAUAUAUGUGUUUAUGUAUGUAUGUACUUUGAUUGUAUUCCCUCCAUUAUCCUGACUAUCCUCCCUGUCCCCACAAGUCCCAUCUUCUUUCAACGGUUUAUAUUUAUGUUUUUAUAUUUAUGUCCUUCACUUAUGGCACACUGCAAUUAAUUAGGAGUUCUUCUACUAGGGUGGAUGUGAGUGAGGGAGUCAUUGGAGGAAAGAUAAAUAUCUUUUCUGUGCCUAUACCAUGGAGGAAUGUGGCUUUCCCUCCCUCAGCAAGCACCAACAGAAUGUUGCUCCUCAUAUUGAGUUGGAGCCUCAUGGCAAUUAUAGAAUACUGAAAGGUCCAGUCUUGCACAUAUAUUCAUGGCUUUUGUGAAUCCUGAAUUCCUCAUGCAUGUCCUUCCCAGAAGACUCCACAGUAAUUAUUAGUAUGUAUAGUUUUAUAUUUUGUUAUGUUGUUGUCUUCAAUUUAAUCUUAUUUCUAACCUCCUCCAGCCUAAAGCAGGCUGGUUCAGACCUUAUGCCACUGAGGCAGGGCCACCUGCCUUGCAGCUCCUCUGACUCAGCUAGUUUACUUUGAUGUGACACUGCCUACCACCUGCUGAGAGACUGAACCGGUCCUCUGAGAUUUUCUGGAGUUAACUGCAACCUGUGAAUUUGGUGACUUACUGCUGAAAGGCCGUGCUAACAACUUGGCAUCACAACAUCAAGAAAUUUGGCGUGGCAGACUUUUAUUAAACAUUUGAGCUUUGAUCAU
rnacentral:lncRNA from 1 species